rnacentral:lncRNA from 1 species
CUUGCCUUUCCCCUUUGAUGUACCGUCCUCCUUUUGAGCUUGUUCUUUACCAAGAAUAAGAAAAAACAUGAGUUUUAAUUCAUUUAACAACAUAUAAUUUAUUGAAAACAUGAAAGGCUAUGUUUACCUAGCCUAGUUUUCAAUUCCUAUCACUUACCACUUAAGCACCUAAACUUCUCUCCUUCUUCCCUCCUUCUCUAUGGUUUCCUUGCUGGUUAUUACACUUAGGAACAGAUUUUGCAUGGAUGAAGGCUUGGUCUUUAUGGAGAUAUUUGAUAGAAAUGGAGGAAAUGAAGGAAAUUCACUUUGUCUUUUCUUUUUGGUGUAGCUACGGCAAAGAUGGGACAAAUGGAAGACAACCCUUUUCUUUCAUGCUUAGUCAUGUAUGGCUAGGUGUCAUAUGGUGGGUUAGGUGUAAAUGUAGCAAAAGGUGGAGGCCAAACUUGGAAUUUUAC